rnacentral:rRNA from 1 species
CAGUAGCCGCGGGAAUACAGAGGGUGCGAGCGUUAAUCGGAUUUACUGGGCGUAAAGCGUGCGUAGGCGGCUAAUUGAGUCGGAUGUGAAAUCCCCGAGCUUAACUUGGGAAUUGCAUUCGAUACUGGUUAGCUAGAGUGUGGGAGAGGAUGGUAGAAUUCCAGGUGUAGCGGUGAAAUGCGUAGAGAUCUGGAGGAAUACCGAUGGCGAAGGCAGCCAUCUGGCCUAACACUGACGCUGAGGUACGAAAGCAUGGGGAGCAAACAGGAUUAGAUACCCCGGUAGUCCCUGUCUCUUAUAC